rnacentral:rRNA from 1 species
GGCGAACGGGUGAGUAACGCGUUUGGUGACCUGCCCCGAAGUCUGGGAUAACCCUGCAAAAGUGGGGCUAAUACCGGAUGUGGUCAUCGGAUUUAGAAACCGAUGUCUAAAGGAUUUAUUCGCUUCGGGAGGGGCCUGCGUCCCAUCAGCUAGUUGGUAGGGUAAUGGCCUACCAAGGCGACGACGGGUAGGGGACCUCAGAGGGUGGCCCCCCACAAUGGAACUGAAACACGGUCCAUACACCUACGGGUGGCAGCAGUAGGGAAUAUUGCACAAUGGGCGAAAGCCUGAUGCAGCAACGCCGCGUGUGCGAAGAAGGCCUUCGGGUCGUAAAGCACUUUUCUGCGAGAUGAGAAAGGACAGUAUCGUAGGAAUAAGUCUCGGCUAACUACGUGCCAGCAGCCGCGGUAAAACGUAGGAGGCGAGCGUUAUCCGGAUUCACUGGGCGUAAAGCGCGUGCAGGC